UCCUUCUCGGUCCUUGGAGAACAUGCUCCGCCCACCGUUAUGCGCGAGCGAAUCUCCAGGACGCAGCCUUGAGAGAGCAGCGCUGUGACCAGGAGGGUGGCGUGGCCUCCAGAUAAACUUCGAUGAUUCGGGCCUGCAGAUUCAGAGAUCCACUCAUCUUGCUGCUGGGCGAGACCAGCCUCCUAAGCUUUCAGACUCACCAUCUUCUAUCCUGAGUCUCCAGAUUUUGAAUGCAGAUUUUGGGACUCGUCGGGCCAUGUAAUCAUAUGCUGCUUAAUUGUUCCAAGGCUUUAAUUAAGAUUAGAUUUUGAUAUGCCAGUCACACUAACAUCUCAACUGACCUGAAUAUUGAAUAUCUGUCGCUUUUCAAUGUUUUCAUCACAUGCAAUCAAAAUGAUUCUACAGUUGUCUUGUUUUUUUUGCUUUUUCUCCAUGAA